rnacentral:rRNA from 1 species
GUGCCAGCAGCCGCGGUAAUACGUAGGGUGCGAGCGUUGUCCGGAAUUAUUGGGCGUAAAGAGCUCGUAGGCGGUGUGUCGCGUCGGUCGUGAAAACUUGGGGCUUAACCCUGAGCUUGCGGUCGAUACGGGCAUCACUGGAGUUCGGCAGGGGAGACUGGAAUUCCUGGUGUAGCGGUGAAAUGCGCAGAUAUCAGGAGGAACACCGGUGGCGAAGGCGGGUCUCUGGGCCGAUACUGACGCUGAGGAGCGAAAGCCGUGGGGAGCGAACAGGAUUAAAUACCCUGGUAGUCC